AGCUCAAAUUUCGAAUCUGGCGGUCUUUAUGGCCGUCCGAGUUGUAAUCUAGAGAAGCGUCUUCCGUGCUGGACCGUGUACAAGUCUCCUGGAAGGGAGCGUCAUAGAGGGUGAGAAUCCCGUCUUUGACACGGACUGCCAGUACUAUGUGAUGCGCUCUCGACGAGUCGAGUUGUUUGGGAAUGCAGCUCAAAAUGGGUGGUAAAUUCCAUCUAAAGCUAAAUACAGGCGAGAGACCGAUAGCGAACAAGUACCGUGAGGGAAAGAUGAAAAGAACUUUGGAAAGAGAGUUAAACAGUACGUGAAAUUGCUGAAAGGGAAACGCUUGACGUCAGUCGCGUCUGCCAGGGAUCAACCUUGCCUUAUCGUGCUGGGUGUAAUUCUUGGUCGGACGGGUCAGCAUCAGUUUCGAUCGUCGUAGAAUGGCCAAGGGAAUGUGGCACCUCUAGGGGUGUGUUAUAGCCCUCGGUCGUAUGCGUCGGUGGGGACUGAGGAACUCGGCACGUCCCCCCUUCUGUGUCUAGGAUGCUGGCUUAAUGGCCUUAAGCGACCCGUCUUGAAA
rnacentral:rRNA from 1 species